rnacentral:rRNA from 1 species
GCAUAUCAAUAAGCGGAGGAAAAGAAACCAACAGGGAUUGCCCUAGUAACGGCGAGUGAAGCGGCAACAGCUCACAAUUUGAAAUCUGGCUCUCGGGCCCGAGUUGUAAUUUGUAGAGGAUGCUUUUGAUGCGGUGCCUUCCGAGUUCCCUGGAACGGGACGCCAUAGAGGGUGAGAGCCCCGUCUGGUUGGAUGCCAAAUCUCUGUAAAGCUCCUUCGACGAGUCGAGUAGUUUGGGAAUGCUGCUCUAAAUGGGAGGUAUAUGUCUUCUAAAGCUAAAUACCGGCCAGAGACCGAUAGCGCACAAGUAGAGUGAUCGAAAGAUGAAAAGCACUUUGAAAAGAGAGUUAAAAAGUACGUGAAAUUGUUGAAAGGGAAGCGUUUAUGACCAGACUUGGGCUUGGUUAAUCAUCUGGGGUUCUCCCCAGUGCACUUUUCCAGUCCAGGCCAGCAUCAGUUUUCGCCGGGGGAUAAAGGCUUCGGGAAUGUGGCUCUCUCCGGGGAGUGUUAUAGCCCGUUGCGUAAUACCCUGGCGGGGACUGAGGUUCGCGCAUCUGCAAGGAUGCUGGCGUAAUGGUCAUCAACGACCCGUCUUGAAACACGGACCAAGGAGUCGUCUUCGUAUGCGAGUGUUCGGGUGUCAAACCCCUACGCGUAAUGAAAGUGAACGCAGGUGAGAGCUUCGGCGCAUCAUCGACCGAUCCUGAUGUUCUCGGAUGGAUUUGAGUAAGAGCAUACGGGGCCGGACCCGAAAGAAGGUGAACUAUGCCUGUGUAGGGUGAAGCCAGAGGAAACUCUGGUGGAGGCUCGCAGCGGUUCUGACGUGCAAAUCGAUCGUCAAACAUGGGGCAUGGGGGGCGAAAGACUAAUCGAACCUUCUAGUAGCUGGUUUCCGCCGAAGU